rnacentral:rRNA from 1 species
UGGCGGACGGGUGAGUAAUGUCUGGGAAACUGCCCGAUGGAGGGGGGUAACUACUGGAAACGGUAGCUAAUACCGCAUAACGUCGCAAGACCAAAGAGGGGGACCUUCGGGCCUCUUGCCAUCGGAUGUGCCCAGAUGGGAUUAGCUAGUAGGUGGGGUAACGGCUCACCUAGGCGACGAUCCCUAGCUGGUCUGAGAGGAUGACCAGCCACACUGGAACUGAGACAGUCGCA